GGGAGUGUAGCUCACUGGUAGAGAACUUGCCUAGUAUAUACGAAUCCCUGGGCUCAAUCCUCAGCACUCCCA
rnacentral:tRNA from 1 species